UUUUAGUAAAAUCUAAUCAUUCAACAAGUGCUUCAAACCGCAGUAUAGGUUAAAUACUUGAAAUACCUUUUUAAUUUGCUAAAUACUACAAAAAUUCCAAGACCAAAAUCUCCUCUUUUCAUGUAAGUAAACAUUUAUUUUGAAACAAAUUUUCAUAUAAAUGUUCACUCACUGAAACCAGUUUAAUAUGACAAUAUGGGAAUGCAGUGCGGUUGUUAUGAAGAUUUAAAUUUUUUAAAAAUCUUGAGUCUAUUCUGUCAGUGAUGUUUUCCUCAUGAGAUUUGGGUUUUCAAUGUUCCUCCCAGUAGCCUUCCUCUAGGCGUGCUCCCGCCUCAUGUAAGAAUGUGAACUCUGCAACUGAAGCCUAGAGAGCUGGUUGGAAUCUUUCUUAAGCUGAACUCAAAAGCAAAUGUGGCCUUCAGUUAAGACUUUUCUUUACAGGAAACAACAGUGGAGUAAUCUACUGGCAUAUGCCAGAAGAGAUGGAAAAGAAAAGUCCUCUCUCCUCUUCUGUCCCUCCACCUCCAGUAUCCAGAGAGGCAGAAUGGAAAACGAGCUGCCAGUUGAAGAAACAGGAGUCUUCCCUGAAGUCCUCUGCGUCACUGUUCACCAGCUCCAAAUGCACUGAACAGGCAGCUCUGAGCCUAAGUACCGUACCAACAUUCAGCUCCUGAGUUGCUCAGCUUAGUUUCUACAGGACAGGACCUCACUCCAAUCUUAUUUCUUCAUUGCCGCCCAUAUCUCGGGCAGCAUCUCUUCCAUCCUGGGCACACCCUCAGGUGGCUGCCUGCACUCCUCUGGCCUGUGACGAAAGCCUUUCCGAGUCUCCCACCACGCAUAAGCCCUUCACAGCCCUUUUCACAUCCCUGCCAGGGGUCUUCGGGCUCUUAGCUCACUGACACAUUUCUUCUCUUUUUAUAAACAGGACUUCAAUGCUAAUCAAUCAAUCUAUCUAUGAAUCUCUCUCAUCUUCUUAGGUAGUUACAUCCUUAAAG
rnacentral:lncRNA from 1 species